UGCUAUUUCUUGGGCCGCUCCCGUGGCAUAUGGAGUUUCCCAGGCUAGGGGUCUAAUGGGAGCUGUAGCCACCAGCCUACGCCAGAGCCACAGCAACGCAGGAUACGAGCCGCGUCUGUGACCUACACCACACCUCACGGCAACGCCAGAUCCUUAACCCACUGAGCAAGGGCGGGGAUCGAACCCACAACCUCAUGGUUCCUAGUCAGAUUCGUUAACCACUGCGCCACGACGGGAACUCCUAGAGUCAGGAUUUAAACAGAGUGAGGUAGAUCCCAAGCUUCCAGCAUUUCUCCUUGUGGGAAAGCCUCAGAGACUUGCUCCCCUCCAAACUAGCAAACAGCUGUCACCGAGAUACCUCCAAUCUUUAAAUGGAUAAUUUUAUUUUUUCUCAUGUCUUCCUAGCCCAGACAACCACCCUGGGCUCCACCACCACUGCUGCCACCACCACUGCUACCACAGCUGGCCUCGGGACCUCAGAGAACCAAAGGCAUUCGGGGUCUUGGCCCCUGAGUACGGAAGCUACAGUGGGGAUAGCAGGCGCUGUGCUUGUAAUAGCAAUUGUGGGACUGAUUUUGUGCCUCUGGUGGAAGAAGAGGAAAGCAUUCCACCAUGCAGGUUUAGAUACCUUUAGAAAUUGUUCGUCGGAGGUUGUAUUCAGCUGCUAGCAUCAGAAGGUAACAGUGUGGUAAACAACACAGAGGGCUUUUCCUUCCUCACCGAAAAGGAUCCGGACAGAGUUCUCAGUGGCUCAGCAGGUUAAGGACCCAGCAUUGGCACUGCAGUGGCCUGGGUUCCUUCUCUGGCUCAGGAACAUCCACAUGUUGUGGGUAUGGCCCAAAAAACUUAAAAAUAAAAGGACUGGAGCCAGACA
rnacentral:lncRNA from 1 species